rnacentral:rRNA from 1 species
UGGGGAAUAUGGCACAAUGGGGGAAACCCUGAUGCAGCGACGCCGAGUGAACGAAGAAGGUAUUCGUAUCGUAAAGUUCUGUCCUAUGGGAAGAUAAUGACAGUACCAUAGAAGAAAGCUCCGGCUAAAUACGUGCCAGCAGCCGCGGUAAUACGUAUGGAGCGAGCGUUGUCCGGAAUUAUUGGGCGUAAAGGGUACGCAGGCGGUUUAAUAAGUCGAAUGUUAAAGAUCGGGGCUCAACCCCGUAAAGCAUUGGAAACUGAUAAACUUGAGUAGUGGAGAGGAAAGUGGAAUUCCUAGUGUAGUGGUGAAAUACGUAGAUAUUAGGAGGAAUACCAGUAGCGAAGGCGACUUUCUGGACACAAACUGACGCUGAGGUACGAAAGCGUGGGGAGCAAACAGG